rnacentral:rRNA from 1 species
CCUACGGGUGGCAGCAGUGGGGGAUAUUGCACAAUGGGGGAAACCCUGAUGCAGCGACGCCGCGUGAGUGAAGAAGUAUUUCGGUAUGUAAAGCCCUAUCAGCAGGGAAGAAAAAAGACGGUACCUGACUAAGAAGCCCCGGCAAACUACGUGCCAGCACCCGCGGUAAUACGUAGGGGGCAAGCGUUAUCCGGAUUUACUGGGUGUAAAGGGAGCGUAGACGGCAAUACAAGUCGGAUGUGAAAUACCCGGUCUCAACCUGUGAACGGCUUGGGAAACUGUAUGGCUAGAGUGCUGGAGAGGUAAGCGGAAUUCCUGGUGUAGCGGUGAAAUGCGUAGAUAUUAGGAGGAACACCAGUGGCGAAGGCGGCUUACUGGACAGUAACUGACGUUGAGGCUCGAAGGCGUGGGGAGCAAACAGGAUUAGAUACCCCUGUAGUC